GUCUUCAUGGCUAUAGCUGGAGGGCUUUCAGGUUAUAGAAUCUGCCUCUCUAUGAAAACUGGAAGUCUCCUUUUCAGACUGUUUACAUCACAAAAUGUUGGGUUUUGUGUGAUGUGUCAUGUUUUCCAUUUCUAGGUCAACUCAGAUGUCUCUGAUUGAUUAGAAAUAACUAGAUGGUUUUUCAAUUGCUUCGCAUGGUAUGUUAAAGGUAGGGUGUCCUCAAAUAAUACGCUUUUCAUCUUCUUUUAUUGCUACUCUAACCAGAACUCAUAUAUUACAUACAAAAUGCUCCUUUGUCUCAUCAGAGUUGUGUGGAACAGAAAAAGCUAAGCUUCAGAAGAAGAAGCGAUCAGGCUUGGCACACUCUUGUUCUAAAAAUGCAAUGGGGAUAUCAACUCCCCUGGGAGUGCCGUUCUCAAUAUCGAGGCUCCUCAGAAGCCAGGCUUUUCCUGCCUUGUGGAAACUCCCAGACUCCCUCUCAAGGUGAUUUGGGAUGCUUCACUUAGUUGUGAAAGACAAGGGCCUGCCUCUCAGAUCCGAGGCCAGCGCAGAGCCAAGAAUAAGGAGGCAAAAGAGGUGAGCUCUGGGCAACACCGCUCAAGUUGGGGCUUUGGGGGCAUCUAAAUGCAGGCAUGUGGCAGGAAAGCCGGCCGCAGGGUCCUUGGGCUUAGGCGUGGGGCUCCAGCCCAGGAGGGUUGGAGACUGGGUAGAAGGAACACCUCAGGCACAGCUGGAGUCCUG
ensembl:lncRNA